UGGGUUGGAAUAGUUCUGUGGGCAUAGUGUGUCUUCGAAGCCACUAUGUUUUCUGCACUUGUGACUAGAGAGCACCUUGAUAGCUCAGUUGGUAGAGCGGUGGACUGUAAGAUGCUCCUUGUGUGAAACGCUGUGAACCUAAGGUCGCUGGUUCAACUCCAUCUCCAAGCACCUCCUUGUCAUUGGAAAUACCCCCAAGCCUUGUCUUUAUCUGUCAACUCCUCCAAAAUGUCAAAACACAAACAAGAUAACUCUUUCUUAAAUUUUCAACCAUCAAUUUUUUAUUCACCCAGCCUAAAAGUCCUGAUUAUCAGUUCUGGGUCCCUGGCAAUGACUGUUUGGUACAAACUGCAAAGCUUUGUUCUGCAGGUAGGGCUGGGCUUUUCAUUGACCAUGGGUUGGAAUAGUUCUGUGGGCAUAGUGUGUCUUCGAAGCCACUAUGUUUUCUGCACUUGUGACUAUAGAGCACUUUGAUAGCUCAGUUGGUAGAGCGGUGGACUGUAAGUUGCUCCUUGUGUGAAACGCUGUGAUCCUAAGGUCGCUGGUUCAACUCCAGCUCCAAGCACGUCAUUGGAAAUACCCCCAAGCCUUGUCUUUAUCUGUCAACUCCUCCAAAAUGUCAAAACACAAACAAGAUAACUCUUUCUUAAAUUUUCAACCAUCAAUUUUUUAUUCACCCAGCCUAAAAGUCCUGAUUAUCAGUUCUGGGUCCCUGGCAAUGACUGUUGGGUACAAACUGCAAAGCUUUGUUCUGCAGGUAGGGCUGGGCUUUUCAUUGACCAUGGGUUGGAAUAGUUCUGUGGGCAUAGUGUGUCUUCGAAGCCACUAUGUUUUCUGCACUUGUGACUAGAGAGCACCUUGAUAGCUCAGUUGGUAGAGCGGUGGACUGUAAGUUGCUCCUUGUGUCAAACGCUGUGAUCCUAAGGUCGCUGGUUCAACUCCAGCUCCAAGCACGUCAUUGGAAAUACCCCCAAGCCUUGUCUUUAUCUGUCAACUCCUCCAAAAUGUCAAAACACAAACAAGAUAACUCUUUCUUAAAUUUUCAACCAUCAAUUUUUUAUUCACCCAGCCUAAAAGUCCUGAUUAUCAGUUCUGGGUCCCUGGCAAUGACUGUUGGGUACAAACUGCAAAGCUUUGUUCUGCAGGUAGGGCUGGGCUUUUCAUUGACCAUGGGUUGGAAUAGUUCUGUGGGCAUAGUGUGUCUUCGAAGCCACUAUGUUUUCUGCACUUGUGACUAUUGAGCACCUUGAUAGCUCAGUUGGUAGAGCGGUGGACUGUAAGAUGCUCCUUGUGUGAAACGCUGUGAUCCUAAGGUCGCUGGUUCAACUCCAGCUCCAAGCACCUCCUUGUCAUUGGAAAUACCCCCAGGCCUUGUCUUUAUCUGUCAACUCCUCCAAAAUGUCAAAACACAAACAAGAUAACUCUUUCUUAAAUUUUCAACCAUCAAUUUUUUAUUCACCCAGCCUAAAAGUCCUGAUUAUCCGUUCUGGGUCCCUGGCAAUGACUGUUGGGUACAAACUGCAAAGCUUUGUUCUGCAGGUAGGGCUGGGCUUUUCAUUGACCAUGGGUUGGAAUAGUUCUGUGGGCAUAGUGUGUCUUAGAAGCCACUAUGUUUUCUGCACUUGUGACUAUAGAGCACCUUGAUAGCUCAGUUGGUAGAGCGGUGGACUGCAAGAGGCUCCUUGUGUGAAACGCUGUGAUCCUAAAGGUCGCUGGUUCAACUCCAGCUCCAAGCACGUCAUUGGAAAUACCCCCAAGCCUUGUCUUUAUCUGUCAACUCCUCCAAAAUGUCAAAACACAAACAAGAUAACUCUUUCUUAAAUUUUCAACCAUCAAUUUUUUAUUCACCCAGCCUAAAAGUCCUGAUUAUCAGUUCUGGGUCCCUGGCAAUGACUGUUGGGUACAAACUGCAAAGCUUUGUUCUGCAGGUAGGGCUGGGCUUUUCAUUGACCAUGGGUUGGAAUAGUUCUGUGGGCAUAGUGUGUCUUCGAAGCCACUAUGUUUUCUGCACUUGUGACUAUUGAGCACCUUGAUAGCUCAGUUGGUAGAGCGGUGGACUGUAAGAUGCUCCUUGUGUGAAACGCUGUGAUCCUAAGGUCGCUGGUUCAACUCCAGCUCCAAGCACCUCCUUGUCAUUGGAAAUACCCCCAGGCCUUGUCUUUAUCUGUCAACUCCUCCAAAAUGUCAAAACACAAACAAGAUAACUCUUUCUUAAAUUUUCAACCAUCAAUUUUUUAUUCACCCAGCCUAAAAGUCCUGAUUAUCCGUUCUGGGUCCCUGGCAAUGACUGUUGGGUACAAACUGCAAAGCUUUGUUCUGCAGGUAGGGCUGGGCUUUUCAUUGACCAUGGGUUGGAAUAGUUCUGUGGGCAUAGUGUGUCUUAGAAGCCACUAUGUUUUCUGCACUUGUGACUAUAGAGCACCUUGAUAGCUCAGUUGGCAGAGCGGUGGACUGCAAGAGGCUCCUUGUGUGAAACGCUGUGAUCCUAAGGUUGCUGGUUCAACUCCAGCUCCAACCACCUCCUUGUCAUUGGAAAUACCCCCAAGCCUUGUCUUUAUCUGUCAACUCCUCCAAAAUGUCAAAACACAAACAAGAUAACUCUUUCUUAAAUUUUCAACCAUCAAUUUUUUAUUCACCCAGCCUAAAAGUCCUGAUUAUCAGUUCUGGGUCCCUGGCAAUGACUGUUGGGUACAAACUGCAAAGCUUUGUUCUGCAGGUAGGGCUGGGCUUUUCAUUGACCAUGGGUUGGAAUAGUUCUGUGGGCAUAGUGUGUCUUCGAAGCCACUAUGUUUUCUGCACUUGUGACUAGAGAGCACCUUGAUAGCUCAGUUGGUAGAGCGGUGGACUGUAAGAUGCUCCUUGUGUGAAACGCUGUGAUCCUAAGGUCGCUGGUUCAACUCCAGCUCCAAGCACUUCCUUGUCAUUGGAAAUACCCCCAAGCCUUGUCUUUAUCUGUCAACUCCUCCAAAAUGUCAAAACACAAACAAGAUAACUCUUUCUUAAAUUUUCAACCAUCAAUUUUUUAUUCACCCAGCCUAAAAGUCCUGAUUAUCAGUUCUGGGUCCCUGGCAAUGACUGUUGGGUACAAACUGCAAAGCUUUGUUCUGCAGGUAGGGCUGGGCUUUUCAUUGACCAUGGGUUGGAAUAGUUCUGUGGGCAUAGUGUGUCUUCGAAGCCACUAUGUUUUCUGCACUUGUGACUAGAGAGCACCUUGAUAGCUCGGUUGGUAGAGCGGUGGACUGUAAGAUGCUCCUUGUGUGAAACGCUGUGAUCCUAAGGUC